rfam:Actinophytocola xinjiangensis strain CGMCC 4.4663 contig28, whole genome shotgun sequence.
GCCGGUCCUCGGUAGUGGUCCCCGGGCCAGCCGAGCGGAAUACACCGCUCGCGCCCGGAGACUUCGAUCGAAGACCGGC